GACCCAGUGGCGGAUGGCCCGCAUCUCCAUUCCUUAACAGAAAUGCUAACGUCAAGAUGUAAGGAGAAGUCGCCUGUUCGAUCCAGGCCUGGGUCA